AUAUUUUAUUGUAAUAAUAUUAUAUAAGAGAGGGUUUCAACAUGUCUGUUUAGGUGUCAAUAAAUUUCAAAUCAAGGAUAAUUUAGUCAUUUUAGUUUAGUGGAGCAUUACUAAUUAGCUACGUGCCUUCUACUCCUACGACCACCUUCCUCUUCCCUGCAAUUGAACAGCGAACUCAUCCCUUUCAUUCCCAACCCUAACAAAAAUUAGCCCAAUAUAUUUUUGGGUCUAUUACUGGGUGGAAGCAAAGCAAGAAAACUAAAAAAGUCACCAAUCAAAGUUCGAUUUUCAAUGAAGAUGCCGAUCCGCAAGCAGAAAAUUUCAACACCGAGAACGGAACUUUUCAGAGCUUGAAAGAGAAGCAGUUCUUGUAUGACAUUUUUGCUAAUGGGCGAAAUAGUUGUUGACAAGUAAUUCCCCCUCUCCUUUUACUUUCUUAAGAUGCAGCUUUUAUUAUGCCUAUACACAUUAGAAAAUUUCAAUAACUGAAUUUGGUGCUUUUAGCAACUUAUAAAUCAAGCUAAAAAUCAAAUAUCACACUAAGACGUGCAUUUUCACUACAUAUCCCUGUAUAUGUUAAAUAAUUGAAGUAUAACAUGCCAUGUCUUCUACUUGCUCAUACAUUUAUAUUUCCUUUUGGUCUUUUACUCGCAAAUCGUGCCCAAACGUCUUGCGUAGACUAAUUAUAACUAUUUACUCUGAGAGCUAUAUGCGUGAAUUGAGGGAUUCUACUGAGUCAAUGGUUGAGUACGAAUAGAUCUGAAAAUGAUUCAUGUUCUUAAAAGAUAUGCUGUUUCAAUUUUCUUGUUCGAAGUUCUAAAUUUUAACUAUAGGUAUAUACCCAAGUUAAAUGUCAAUGUUCACGAAAUGUCCAUUCUGUCUGCAUGCCUGUUUUGACUUUAUAACAGAAUUUCCUAUGUUGUGCAAGCUUCACAAAUAGAUCAAUAUGGUAAUAAUGUGCUGCAAACUAUAUUUUCAAUAAAUUCUUCGAUUUUUUCCAGAAGCAAAUGAUUAGUUCCCUGCAUCUCACGCUCCAUGAAUAGCCGGGAUACUGAGAAAUAUCCAAAAAGGUAUUUCGGGAAUCUGCUUUGUGUAGCUUGCUGAGCCUUUUUUGUCCUAUAAAAUAGAACAAUACUGAGGAUAACUACAUUUCUGUGAUGGCACAAUGAUAUAAUCAAAUUGAUGGCUUCCAUUCAACAGGAUGAUAAAAGAAGAUUGUUUGGCUUCCAUUCGUGUAAGAAUGUUAUAUCUGUGAUCAUCAUUCAUCACGAUUGUUAGGGCAGUAGUGCUUAAGCAUAUCUUUUAUAUUAUUGUGUCAUUACUUAUUUCUUUGUAAUGUGUCUCAAGGUACCCAUUAGAGUUUGUCAACUACCUUUGCCACUCUUGCCAUAAGGACAAACAUCAAAUACACCUGCACAGAAGCCAUGAAACUGGAGAUACAUUAACACCAUAUAUGUUGCUUGCUUGGAAGCUUGAUUUGCUUAAAUUAUCUACAUACCAGGUUGUGCUUAAUUUGUAAACAAAGUGCGUAAUGCUGCAAUACUUUUGGCUGAACAGAUACAGUUUGUAAUACCUCACUCCUUGCUGUUGUAACAUUUGAACAAGAAAACUGAAUUGCUAUGCAACAUUAUUGUCUAAUAAUAUGCUAAA